ACGGACUCCUACGGGAGGCAGCAGUGAGGAAUAUUGGUCAAUGGUCGAGAGUACUGAACCAGCCAAGUCGCGUGAGGGAAGACGGGUCCAUGACCUGUAAACCUCUUUUUCCCGGGAAGAACAAGUCGCACGAGUGCGACCCUGCCAGUACCGGGCGAAUAAGCAUCGGCUAACUCCGUGCCAGCAGCCGCGGUAAU
rnacentral:rRNA from 1 species